CAAUAGCGUAUAUUAAAGUUGUUGCAGUUAAAAAGCUCGUAGUUGGAUUUCGGGGUGGCCUGCCUGGUCCACCGCAAGGUGAGUACUGGUCAGCCGCCCUUCCUCUCGAAAGCCCCGACUGCUCUUCAUUGCAGUGGUCGGGUAGUUCGGGACGUUUACUUUGAAAAAAUUAGAGUGUUCAAGGCAGGCUCUCGCCUGAAUACAUUAGCAUGGAAUAAUGGAAGAGGACCUCGGUCCUAUUUUGUUGGUUUCUAGGGCCGAAGUAAUGAUUAAGAGGGACAGUUGGGGGCAUUCGUAUUUAAUUGUCAGAGGUGAAAUUCUUGGAUUUAUGAAAGACGAACUAGUGCGAAAGCAUUUGCCAAGGAUGUUUUCAUUAA
rnacentral:rRNA from 1 species